GAUGAACGCUGGCGGCGUGCCUAAUACAUGCAAGUCGAACGAAACUUCUUUAUCACCGAGUGCUUGCACUCACCGAUAAAGAGUUGAGUGGCGAACGGGUGAGUAACACGUGGGCAACCUGCCCAAAAGAGGGGGAUAACACUUGGAAACAGGUGCUAAUACCGCAUAACCAUAGUUACCGCAUGGUAACUAUGUAAAAGGUGGCUAUACUACCGCUUUUGGAUGGGCCCGCGGCGCAUUAGCUAGUUGGUAGGGUAAAGGCUUACCAAGGCAAUGAUGCGUAGCCGAAUUGAGAGGUUGAUCGGCCACAUUGGGACUGAGACACGGCCCAAACUCCUACGGGAGGCAGCAGUAGGGAAUCUUCCACAAUGGGCGAAAGCCUGAUGGAGCAACGCCACGUGGGUGAAGAAGGUCUUCGGAUCGUAAAACCCUGUUGUUAGAGAAGAAAGUGCGUGAGAGUAACUGUUCACGUUUCGACGGUAUCUAACCAGAAAGCCACUGCUAACUACGUG
rnacentral:rRNA from 1 species